rnacentral:lncRNA from 1 species
UCCUAGCACAUGAAAAUCUAGCCUAACAUAAUUGGAAAUAAAGAAAAACAACAAUUAAAACCAAGGAAGAACAUCACUCGAUUGAUUCUUGAAGUGAAAUCUUGAAUCUUGAAGUGGAUUGCCUUGUUUUUGCCUUGUUCUUCCUCUCCAAAUCCUCCAAAAUUGUGUUUUUGUGCCUCCAAUUACGUUCUCCCCCUCUUCUGGACGUUCUUUCGUAUUUAAAUCGCGUGGAAAUUAGGUUACCAAAGGAGUUUCAAUCGUAUAAGGAAACUGCAAAACGGCCCCCAGAUUAUACCUAUGCGACCGCAUAGUACAUUUCUAUGCUGUCGCAUAGAGUAAAAAAAUUUGAGAAAAAGUUCUCGGGAGGCUUCUAUGCGACCGCAUAGAAUUUAUACUAUGCGACCGCAUAGUUAUACAAUUCUUUCCGCUGGACAGC